CGGGUCAGGGUCUAGUUUUAUUUUAAUAUAGUUUCAAAAAAUAAUUAAAUUUUUAUAAAUUUUAUAAAAGUGAACCACUGAAAAACUAACACAUGAUUAAAUAGGUACAAAAAAAGUAUCUAAAAAUUCUAAAUAAGCAACCCAUGGUUUGCCUCUCUCCUCCACUUUUUAUAUAUUUUUGAUUUUUUUUUUAUUCUAAAUGAGCAACCCAGAUUCAAUACCACUAAAAUUACUCUGAGGAUUGAUUUAUACUCUCUCAAAUAAGAAGUCGAGUUGUAGUACUUAGGGAUCGAAUUCACAAGUAGUUAGGGAACCUAAAAAAUCUAAUAUGAUUUGUUAAGCUAGAUGGUUUCAGAGAUUUUAAAUGUAAAUUGCAGUUUUAUAUUGAACAAGUAUUUGUUCAAUAGGUUGAUUGAGGUUUUGGUGCUUAAAAAGAAAAUAGUUAGACUUAAAGUUUUUAUUCAAGAAAUUUGGGAUUAUAAUCCUACAGAUGCUUAGACCAGCUCCAUUGGGGAUUUUAAAGAGGGGUUCUAAAAAAAAACCAAAAAAAUAAAUCAGAAAAUAGGAAAAAUCAUAGAACCGGAUCUUAGGAAGGGAUUUUAAGAGCUGCUAAAAACCCCUUACGUGUCUCCUCCUCUUUCGAUCUCUGUCUCUCUCUCUCUUCUCUGUUUCUCUCUUCGACUCUUUGCCGAUCAAUGGCAACCAAUCUCCAUCACUAUCCGGAUCCAAUUACGCGCUCUUCGAUCUCGCUGAAGACGGGAAAUAGGACGGAGCUACCGGCAAAUCAGUCUGAUCCAAAUCUCAAUCGCACGAAACCCUAAAUUUUGUGUCCGAAUCUCUUAAAAGAAUAGAGAUUAUGUGUCGUUGCUUUGACGAUGAAUCUAAAAUCCGGUUUAGACCGGUUCUUUGAAUAAUCAAACCGAGCCCACUUGAAGGUAACUUCGUUUCUCUUUCAGUUUGUUUGAACUCUCUAUUAUUAUUUGGUUGCCUUCAGGCUCUCUUUGUAAUCCUUGUUUUGAAUCAAUAAUAGAAACAUUAUCUUCUCCUAAAUCACAAGUUCAUAUCAAUACGUUACAAUCUACGUAACACAAACCUAGUCUUUGUAGGAACUGAUGGAUUAGGAGUCUUAAGAUAUGCAUUGUUACAAAAGUGGACUAUCUAUCUAGCACAUAUUGCUGUUUAUAUUGCAUUCUCUGAGACCUGAAGAUGCUUUUUUAUUGCCUCAUUAACUUCAUUUGGGUAACCAAACGUUUUUCCAAGGGAACAACAACAAUGGGUUCAAGUACGACACUACACACACAACAAAAACUUUGAAGCUGCGCAUAACGACAGUAGCAGCAACAGGUUUCAGCUUGUGGUUUCAGUCUUUGGUCCUUCUUUAUGCUUAUACAUUGUUGCUCUCGUAUAAUACAUUGGUCCUGGUGUGUGGUCUGAAGCUUAAAUCAGUUGCUGUUUGUGUUAUUCGUGUUGUCUUGGUGUGUGGUAUGAUGCCUUCAAAUCUCGGCAAUACGAUGAGCAUUCGGAAUCGAGUUCGUGAUAGAACAAUAGAUCAACAAUUGAAAGCUGAUUUGGUUGAGAAUAUAUGGCAAAAAUUUAGAACAAAUCAAGAUUUCAACUAAUCGGCUAUUUCUCGUUUUCGAUUUGUAUUUGUAUUUUUAAUAUUCUUUUAUGUCAUUUUUAAUAAAAUUUUAAUAUAUGUUUAUUUUUAAAAUCA